rnacentral:rRNA from 1 species
GUUAAGCGACUAAGCGUACACGGUGGAUGCCCUGGCAGUCAGAGGCGAUGAAGGACGUGCUAAUCUGCGAUAAGCGUCGGUAAGGUGAUAUGAACCGUUAUAACCGGCGAUUUCCGAAUGGGGAAACCCAGUGUGUUUCGACACACUAUCAUUAACUGAAUCCAUAGGUUAAUGAGGCGAACCGGGGGAACUGAAACAUCUAAGUACCCCGAGGAAAAGAAAUCAACCGAGAUUCCCCCAGUAGCGGCGAGCGAACGGGGAGCAGCCCAGAGCCUGAAUCAGUAUGUGUGUUAGUGGAAGCGUCUGGAAAGGCGCGCGAUACAGGGUGACAGCCCCGUACACAAAAAUGCACAUGCUGUGAGCUCGAUGAGUAGGGCGGGACACGUGGUAUCCUGUCUGAAUAUGGGGGGACCAUCCUCCAAGGCUAAAUACUCCUGACUGACCGAUAGUGAACCAGUACCGUGAGGGAAAGGCGAAAAGAACCCCGGCGAGGGGAGUGAAAAAGAACCUGAAACCGUGUACGUACAAGCAGUGGGAGCACGCUUAGGCGUGUGACUGCGUACCUUUUGUAUAAUGGGUCAGCGACUUAUAUUCUGUAGCAAGGUUAACCGAAUAGGGGAGCCGAAGGGAAACCGAGUCUUAACUGGGCGUUAAGUUGCAGGGUAUAGACCCGAAACCCGGUGAUCUAGCCAUGGGCAGGUUGAAGGUUGGGUAACACUAACUGGAGGACCGAACCGACUAAUGUUGAAAAAUUAGCGGAUGACUUGUGGCUGGGGGUGAAAGGCCAAUCAAACCGGGAGAUAGCUGGUUCUCCCCGAAAGCUAUUUAGGUAGCGCCUCGUGAAUUCAUCUCCGGGGGUAGAGCACUGUUUCGGCAAGGGGGUCAUCCCGACUUACCAACCCGAUGCAAACUGCGAAUACCGGAGAAUGUUAUCACGGGAGACACACGGCGGGUGCUAACGUCCGUCGUGAAGAGGGAAACAACCCAGACCGCCAGCUAAGGUCCCAAAGUCAUGGUUAAGUGGGAAACGAUGUGGGAAGGCCCAGACAGCCAGGAUGUUGGCUUAGAAGCAGCCAUCAUUUAAAGAAAGCGUAAUAGCUCACUGGUCGAGUCGGCCUGCGCGGAAGAU